rnacentral:misc_RNA from 1 species
GUUUGGGUUCCUCAGUUCUCUCAUCAUCCUUCUCAAUAUGUUCCGAAACAGAAGGCAACUCCAUUGGAGAAACCAAUACUGGACUCUCAAUUCCAAUGGGUUUUAAAGGAGAUUCAAGAACUGGAGGGUUAAAUGCUGGCUUUGAAAGUCGAGGUGAGGGUGUUUUGGGGCUUUCUAUAUUCUUAGAAGGUGGUGGUGGAGGUGGCGGGGGACGUGGCGGUGGUGGUCCAAGAGCUGGUGUGGCUUGCUGUAUGUGAUUUCUGAUUGUCGCCGGAAACUGAACAUCUUGAUCCAAAAGAUUGAAAAUUCCCGGAGAUGAGUCCAUGCUUCUGGUUGAAUAUCUCUCUGGUGAUAAUGGGCAUGGAGGUGACGGUGAUGGUGAUGGAGAUUCUGCAAAUGGUGGCACAAUUGUCGCCGGUGGCGGUGGAGGAGGAGGUGGAUACUGAGGUGGUGGAGCGGUGUCAACAGCGACCAGUUCCGGUGACUUGGGUCUUAAAUUUUUCCUUUCCGGACUCAAACUCGCCGGCGGCGAAAUGCUCAGCGAUACAGACCGGGCCGGCGAACCGGACCCGGAACUCGAGGACGAACUCGAAGAAGAUGAGCUACAGCCAACAAAUCUCUCAACUUCAACAGCAGAAAAAUCUCUUCGGGACAGUGAGUCACCUCCGAUUGAAC